GCAUAUCAAUAAGCGGAGGAAAAGAAACCAACAGGGAUUGCCCCAGUAACGGCGAGUGAAGCGGCAAUAGCUCAAAUUUGAAAUCUGGCUCUNUCAGGGUCCGAGUUGUAAUUUGCAGAGGGCGCUUUGGUGUUGGCAGCAGCCUAAGUUCCUUGGAACAGGUCAUCAUAGAGGGUGAGAAUCCCGUAUGUGGCUGCUUGUCUUCGCCGUGUAAAGCCCCUUCGAUGAGUCGAGUUGUUUGGGAAUGCAGCUCUAAAUGGGAGGUAAAUUUCUUCUAAAGCUAAAUAUUGGCCAGAGACCGAUAGCGCACAAGUAGAGUGAUCGAAAGAUGAAAAGCACUUUGGAAAGAGAGUCAAAAAGCACGUGAAAUUGUUGAAAGGGAAGCUCUUGCAGCCAGACGUGCCCGUAGUUGCUCAUCGGGGGUUCUCCCCCGUGUACUCUUCUAUGGGCAGGCCAGCAUCAGUCCGGGCGGUUGGAGAAAGACCUGUGUCAUGUAGCUGUUUUCGGGCAGUGUUAUAGGGCAGGUGGAAUGCAACCA
rnacentral:rRNA from 1 species